UAGGGAAUCUUCCGCAAUGGACGCAAGUCUGACGGAGCAACGCCGCGCGAGUGAAGAAGGAUUUCGGUUCGUAAAACUCUGUUGUUAGAGAAGAACAGCGCAUAGAGUAACUGUUAUGCGUGUGACGGUAUCUAACCAGAAAGCCACGGCUAACUACGUGCCAGCAGCCGCGGUAAUACGUAGGUGGCAAGCGUUGUCCGGAUUUAUUGGGCGUAAAGCGAGCGCAGGCGGUCAAUUAAGUCUGAUGUGAAAGCCCCCGGCUCAACCGGGGAGGGUCAUUGGAAACUGGUUGACUUGAGUGCAGAAGAGGAGAGUGGAAUUCCAUGUGUAGCGGUGAAAUGCGUAGAUAUAUGGAGGAACACCGGUGGCGAAGGCGACUCUCUGGUCUGUAACUGACGCUGAGGCUCGAAAGCGUGGGUAGCAAACAGG
rnacentral:rRNA from 1 species